rnacentral:rRNA from 1 species
UACGUAGGGGGCAAGCGUUGUCCGGAAUCAUUGGGCGUAAAGAGCGUGUAGGCGGCCCGGUAAGUCCGCUGUGAAAGUCCAGGGCUCAACCCUGGGAUGCCGGUGGAUACUGUCGGGCUCGAGUCCGGAAGAGGAGUGUGGAAUUCCUGGUGUAGCGGUGAAAUGCGCAGAUAUCAGGAGGAACACCAAUGGCGAAGGCAGCACUCUGGGACGUGGCUGACGCUGAGACGCGAAAGCGUGGGGAGCAAACAGG